UACGGAGGGGGCGAGCGUUAUUCGGAAUUAUUGGGCGUAAAGGGCGCGUAGGCGGCCCGGUAAGUCAAAGGUGAAAUCCCUCGGCUCAACUGAGGAACUGCCUUUGAAACUGUCGGGCUUGAGGCCGGGAGGGGGUAGCGGAAUUCCAGGUGUAGCGGUGAAAUGCGUAGAUAUCUGGAGGAACACCGGUGGCGAAGGCGGCAUCCUGGACCGACACUGACACUGAGGAGCGAAAGCCAGGGGAGCAAACGGG
rnacentral:rRNA from 1 species